CAGCUUUACUAUACAGGAAAUUUGGGAGAGCUCCCUGCAUCUCAUAUAUUUUAAUGUGAUUUUUUUAAAGUACCUUUAUCUGUAAGUAAGGCACUUCAGAGACAAAUUUCUCUGCUGUGCUUAAGAAUGGGGGAGAUAAUCAGACCAUGAUAUUUUAACAGGUUUUCUGACAAAGCUGCAUUUGCAGGGCUCUCUGGAGUUUCUCCAGGUUUAAGGGACAUUCUUGAACUUGCUUGAUCAGAGCUGAUGCAUUUCAUUUUCCCCACAGGUUUGCAGCAUGAGAUAAUAUCAGAGCACAAUUGUCUGUACCCAAAUGACUGGUCACUCUCCCCCAAAAAGCAGGAUGUCAGGCAACCCCACAACAACAAGCAAAGGUGUAUCAGAUAUGGAUUCAGCAGUGCCCCAAGGCAUGAGGAGAACAAAGUGUCUCCUUUAUCCAAUUCAGUAUAAUGACAGAUCACACUGCUUGUCUGGCUCAGUUCAGCUCAACCACCACUUCCUGUUACAGAUGUGUGAUGGAGGAGGGCUCAAAACUGACAGGUUUUAAUCAGAUUUGAUAGAAACUUGACACAGAUGUUGUUGGCUCAGCUCAACAUUACACAGAAAGAAAAGCAAAAUUUAUUCCAAUGUUACAGGCGCUGAUGUUAGGAAACAUCACAAGCCUAGUUGAUAAUUCUCAGCAACAUCUCUUGGUUCCCCUGCAGAGGGGAAAUUUUGCCUCAUCCCCCCUUAAGUACAGGGGAUCAUUCCUUCCUGCAGAGCUCUGCUAACCAACACACUGAGCUGCUGUGUCUGAAGUCACCGCACACACCAAGAGGUAUCAUUAACACAUGAUGGUGACACAUGCCUCUGUUUGCACAGCAACACUUCAAUGUCAUUGGAAACCUGAUAUAGUUUGGGGACUUGGAUCUGAAGUGUGACGUUCCAAUUUAAAAUGCAUACAUUUGGGACAAGGAACAGAGUGACUUAUCUGCUUGGUGUUGGGCUGGCAGAAUUGCUCACAGCCAUAUAGGAAUUAUCUAAAUGUUUUCCAGAGAAAUCUUCAAAUAAACCUUGCACUGGCAUUUCCUUCAUAUUUGCCACCACUUCUGAAAAGUUUUUCAGAGAUAUUUUUAAAAGUCGUGUUCUUUCCCAGCUUGCCACUUGACUAUCCCUGAGAGGUCCCCAUGAAAUUCAGGGCAGAAUGCCAGUCUUGGUGACAUCAGCCCCACAAACUUGGUUCCAAAGGUACUGCACUGCCCCUGACACACAACACUCAGCCUCAGCUGCCGAUGUGCCAGGUAGUCCUGGACGACUCAUUCCACACUCAGCCCUCCCUCUGCACUCAGUCUGUCCCAGAGUCACCUGAUUUUUGGAGGUCAAGACUCAGGACAAAGCAGGGACCUCCUAAUCCCACCCGAGGCGCUUCCAGCAUACAGAGAAAGAAUAACAAAGCCAGCUUUGACUGUUAAAUGGGAAAGCAGUGAACUUGCCAGAUACAUUUCUGCACAGGAGAGGAGGGAACAGAAACGCUGCCCUGGCAGAUGACUGGUUAAGUCAUGCAGAGCUGCAGGGGAAGAGCAGCUACACUGUGGUGCAGGAUGAGCUCCAAGAGUUCCAGCUACUGAAUUGCCAACUGGUGCCACUCACAGCAACAAAUUCCCAGCUGGUAACAGAAUGAAACACGGACAAGCCAAUGCCGAGAGAUCCAUUGUGAGAUGGAGCCAACAGAAAUAGAAGAGCAAGAGCUUCCAGCCCCUCUCUGCAAAGUGUAUCUGCACAGGGGUCCCCACCUUUAGGUGGACACAGACUUUAUUAAAUUUGCACUCAGCCAGCAGUUCUCCCUGGGGUUAUUAAGGGAAGGGUUGAAGAGGCAUCACCAACACUGUGAGAACAGAGAACUGCAGCCAGGAAAGAACAAAAUGUGGCUAUGGGCAGGAGAAGGUCCGAGUCUUCUUGCCAGACAUCCCUCUGAUGCACACAUGACCCAUAGGAAAUUCCAUGGCAGAAACACAGAGGAAGAUCAGCCAAACUCUCUUUUUUCCCAAUCUCAGACAGCUGUGGGUACAAAAAAGGGACCCUGGGCUAGAUCCCAUCACACUUCCACACUUUCAGCAAGCCCACAUUUCAACACCAGGGAUAUUUGUGUUUAUAGCAAUGGGUAACACUCAUGAAAUUAUGGUAAGGCUCUUAAUCACUGGAUCUUGUAAUGUAAUACCAGAAAACAUUUUGUUUUCAAAUUGUCAAAAGUAACUAAAAUUGUUGAUGGUUCAUGGUUGUAAUCCACUAGUUCAUGUCAAUAACAGCCCAAGACAGUUUAUACAAAGUCUCUCCCAUUUGGAUGAUUUGUUGAAGUCUCAAAAUAAAAGAGGAACAACAUUA